UGGAACUUGCACUCCUACUGCCUCAGCCUCCCAAGUAGCCAGGAUUACAGGCAUGAGCCACUGCACCCACUCUUUUCCCUCCCUUAUAUUGGUUAAUGCUAAGCUUUUUUUUUUUUUUUUUUUUUUGUACCAGGGAUUGAACUCAGGACCUUGCACUUGCAAGACAGGCAGCAGCACCACUGAGCUAAAUCCCCAGCCCGAUGCUAAGCUUUUUUAAAGAGUGUUUUUAGGGGCAGUUUUAAUGGCUCACAGCAAAACUGAGCAGAAGGUAGAGAUUUCUGUACACUCCCUCCCCUGCAUGUGCAGUCUCUCCCAGAAUGGACAUUCUGCCCAGAGUAGUGAAUUUGCACUGUUGGUGCAGAACCAACUAAUAAACCUACACUGACGUAUUUGCACCAGGACUCACUCUCACUGCUGGACACUCCAUGGGUUUGGAUGAAGGCAUAGUGAAUGGCAUGCGUCCAACACUACAGCACCAUACAAAAUACUUUCACUGCCCUAAAACUCUUCUGGUUGUACAUCUUUUAAUUGAACAACCAGUUUCUUCUUCACUAGAUAAAAAUAUAUUUUUAACUCUAAAGUUGGCCUUGGAGGUGGCUAAGUUAACAGAAAUUGAAGUCGUUUUACCUACCCACACACUAGCAGUGUGGAGACCAGGGAAUCAUUCAUCUAAUGGCAGAUACCAACACCGUAAGGAUUAAGUUGUUUGUCCUAAAGAAUCAAAUGCAAAAAUGUUUAAACCUAUCUGAGGAGAGACUGGAGGAGGAGAUAUUAGUGUAUCUGUUAUGCCUACGAUGAUACAAAGUUCACAUGGCAAAUAACAGCACCUGAGCAGCACCAGAUGCAAAAAGCACACACAGAGGGCCAAAGAUUUAGCUCAGUGGCACCGCGCCUGCCUUGAAAGUGCAAGGUCCUGGGUUUGAUCCCCAUACCAAAAAACAAAAAACAGAACUCGAGCUCCACAGAAUGGCCUGGAACUAAUGUUAUCCCACUAAAACAGGCUCUGAAAUAAGACUAGAAGAGGAAUUUUUAAAAGUUUUUCAGUCAUGAAAUCAUCAUUAAAAUGAAUACAUGGUUUCCCACAAUGGUUCUUUUGAAGAACACAAUGUAUAUUUAGAAGUAGGCAUUUCCUUUUGCUUGCUAAAAUUUAGUCGCAUGUCUUUAUACUACACUUGAUUUGUGCACAUAAUGAAAGGCAGUUGGAGGGAAAAAUGACGUUAGAAGUUGGUGAUCCAAGAAACACUACAGGAAGUAAAAUUUAAACUGGUGACCCAAAGCUCUGGAGAGACACAAUAAGAAAAUGAGGUACGUAUUUUCUAAGAUGUCAUUUAAUGCCACAAGUAGUCAAAGUAGAAACUCAGAAAGAACAGUCUUGGGUACAACGUCCUUGUCAUUAUCCCAGAAAAUGUUUAUGUACCAAAUAUUAUGUAGCAACUUCCCCAUUUCAUAAAGCUGUAGAUUGUCAAAUAUUCUUGUUAACUAGAGACAGAAUUCUGAGCAAUAUUCCCAGCUUUUUAGUCUCUUUGUUUUCAAUUAGCAGUCUAGCCUUAUGUUUUUAAAAACAUCCUCUCUAUUCUAUUAUUUUUAAUGAUAAAGAUCCCUGUAUAAAACUUUAACAUUAUCAUCAUCUCGUGAAAAAUUAAAAAUUACAUGCCAAAAGUGAUAAAAGAAGCAUUAUUCCCCCCUUAUUCUUUGGGGAAAAAUAAUGAAGAGGGAGCAUUGUUUUGCUAUCUUCUGAUCUUCCAAGCACGUGAGGGCUGGAAAAUGGAAUCACUUAAAUAACAACCCAGAUUGUUUCCUCUCACAAAACAGAAUAAUAGUGGGAACAUUUUUGUGACUCCAAGGAAGCAAAUGUUUCUAAUUAGCGAACAAAAUCGGCUGAGGUAACUGCUGUGGGUACACAAACAACAAAAUCGCCCAAAUUCUGUUUGUGAAGGUUGCCACCUACUGGAGAAGAUGCAGUACUACAGCUGGCUUUCGGGGGUUGGCGGGGAGGAGCCGGGGAUAAGGAGGGCAGCCGUGGGACAGUCACACAGCGGCAGAAGUCAGAAGCCAGGGAGGGGACCUCUGCCUGGGCCUUAGGGGGGUUUUAGGGCUUAACCAAGGGCAAAUAGAGUCUGUGAAGCGGAAGCCAUGCGGCCCAGACACAGAGAGUAAUGCAUGGAAAGCAGCUGAGAGCCGCAGAUGACUAACUAUCCACUGGAAUAGACCACUCCUCAUCAUAGCCCAAGAAACAGUCGUGGAAAUAAUGAUGGGGAAAACACCGAGGGGCUAGAGCUUCUUAAUCUCUUCCUUUCCUAAAUCCCAUUAAACUGCUGCCCUUAACAAGA